CCAGAGAGUGACCAGUAGAUGGAAGAAGGGGGGCCACAUUAAGGAAACCUAAAGUAUGUGUCAGCGUGGAAAUGUACUUUAUAUUUGCACACUUCCAGAAUACUUUUGAAACCAGAAUUCAGAAAAAUAAAAGAUAUUUUAUUCCCAGGGAAAAAGAGAUCUGCAGAUGAUUGGCUUCUGUGCUAUGUUGCAAUCCCUUAAUGUCAGACUCAUAGGAGAAUAGGUGGCACAUCUGUGUGUUUGUGUUGGAGCGAAUUCACCCAUAAACACGUGCACCCAUAAACGUGUGCACCCAUGAGUGCAUGCACAUGGGUGCAUGCUCAUAAACACAAACUGCGGCACACCAAGUAUAAACAAAUGAAGCAGAAGUUUAGCAUCAAGUUUGUUCUCAUGUUUGUUAACAUCGUAGCUUUAAAUUUGCUUUCUCCUAACUUAUCAAAUGGAAAUAUGGCUCCAUUUGUUCUUUAAAAAUAUUACCAGAAGCCCUGUCAAUGUGGUAAUUUUACCUUUCAUGUAAUACACUUGCCAACAGCUGUUUUCUGCUGAAAUGGGACUCAAGAUUUUUUAAUCCAAGGCCAGUGCUGCCUGCUCUGUUUACAAUGGCUUGUGUUUUGUGAAUACAUAUCAAAUGUUGUAAUAUAUUUUUAUGAUAGAAUUGAUGGUUAAUACAAGGAAAGAAAGUAUAUAUUGUGAUUCUGUCCAAUAAAGCUUCCUGUUAUAAAAUCUUA